rnacentral:rRNA from 1 species
UGGAGGUAACUCCUUCUAAGCUAAAUAUCACCACGAGACCGAUAGCGAACAAGUACCGUGAGGGAAAGUUGAAAAGCACUCUGAAUAGAGAGUCAAAAAGUACGUGAAACUGCCUAGGGCUCAAGCCCGUUGAACUCGAUUAUCCGAGCGGAGACAUUCACCUGCGGGCGGCCGGCGACGGUCAGCCGCAGGGCACUUGUCUCUCGCGCACAAGAGGACACUGCGAUCCAUUACGAAACAGCUUUCGCGUCGCAAGACGCAAGGUUGCCCGACAGUUGCCCCUUGGUGCUGGUAGCUUGUCCCACAGUAGCGACGCUCAGUUCUGAAGGCCUGUGCCGCGAGGUGGGGCUUACUGCACGUGGUGUUUGCAGUCGGGCGCGUGAUGGAUUCCCGCGCACGCCGGCGGUCUUCCCGUAAGGGGCCGCCGGACCGUCGAUCGGCAGUGAAAGAAUCGAGGUACCUUCGGGACCCGUCUUGAAACACGGAA